rnacentral:rRNA from 1 species
AGCGGGGGGGGCAGCUGCGGGACAGUGGGCAAUGAGCGAGAGACCCCUUUCAAUAGCAUAAGCCGCGCCUGCGGUGUGAGCGCAUCGGCACCCUAUGAGCCAAAUCGUUUGUGGGUGGGGGGGCGGAGGUAGCUAGUUACUAAGUUAUUGGGUUAUCGCAUCACAGAUCGGGCGCCCGUGAGGGGGUGAGACAACCCCCCCCCCCACUAUGACACUGUACACAGUCCCAGAGUAGUCGGGCAGCCGCAAUUGGGGAAAUGGGCCAAUGGGUCAAGCCUGAAUCCCGCCAGGCUGAUGUCACUAUGAGGCCCUUAGGUCCUUUAAGCUCUUUCGGCAGGGAGAGGGCUGACGGUACUGAAGAAGAAGACCCGCCUAACUUCGUGCCAGCAGCCGCGGUAAU